AAGGGUAUAACUCAGUGGUAGAGUGUGUGCCUAGCAUGUAUAAGGCCUUGGGUUCAACUCCCAGUACCUCCA
rnacentral:tRNA from 1 species